GAUUUCUGGUUGGUCGCCCUAGCCCGUUGGCCUCUGGUCAGCGUGUGCUGGAACGUACCAUCCAUCCUUCCAGAUAGCCGUGCGUACCGUUCAUUCGGUUGCGCGCGUUUUGCGAUCUGGAUCUUUUACUUUGAAAAAAUUAGAGUGUUUAAAGCAGGCUUACGCCAUGAAUACAUUAGCAUGGAAUAAUAAUAUAGGACUUGAGUUCUAUUUUGUUGGUUUCUAGGACUAAAGUAAUGAUUGAUAGGGAUAGUUGGGGGUGCUAGUAUUCAGCGGCCAGAGGUGAAAUUCUUGGAUUCGCUGAAGACUAACUACUGCGAAAGCAUU
rnacentral:rRNA from 1 species